AAAGAAUGACGCGCAAAUCUCGGAACCAGUAAGCCAACCGUUGCUUUUUUACUGUGAAUACAUACAUAUGCCUUUCAACAUUCGAGGGCACUGUGAGACGCCAGUAAAGGAGAGAGAAAAAAAAAAAAGAAUGAAACGAAAACUGAAAAGAACCAGGAAACGGUUGUUUGUUUUUACGUAACGAACGGUUAGUUUUAAACGUUCGGUUGAUUCGCUUAAGCGUAGGUUAGGAUUUUAGUUUGAACUGUCACGUGACCACUGUGAGUGGGGACCACUUAUACGAAAUUGUAGUUGAUCGGAGGAAAAUAGCCAGCUAGUUAGCUCACUAAUUGUCGGAAAAACUUUAAAUGCAACGCAAAAGUUUCAUUAACACAUUGUACACAUCAUCAAGUUAGAAUUUCUGGAAGAAAUUUUACAAUCUACAUGUGAAAUAACAUCAUGCCACUGAAAGGAGGCCACACGUUACGCACGCAAGAGAGUUGUUCGUGGCACGACUGCCCUUUGCACACUAUGCACACGCGAAGUGAACUUAUAUACGCAACUCGCACAUCAUUAAACGGGAACAACGUGACCGUGUAGGCUAAAGGAUGAAACGUUCCCCCUCCCCUUUCUUCUCUACCUCUCACAGCAAUUUCGAGAAUUUCCGGCUUGCAUUAAGUAUUAAUUAACCACGAUAAAGCUAAUGACGCACUGUGAAAUUCUUUGCAGCACUACCACUAAUGUACACGAACGUGAACUCUUAAAUGGAACUGUGAAGGAAGUGGAAUUA